UGUGUGUGUGUGUGUGUGUGUGUGUGUGUGUGUGUGUGUGUGUGUGUGUGUGUGUGUGUGUGUGUCUGCUUGGAGGGGAAACAGCAGAGAAGAUGAAGAAGGGCUCAUGUAAGAAAGCAGUCAUGGUAGAUAUACAGACUUCCAGGCAUUCACGUCAAAGGUGAGGAACAAUAUGAGAACGGGAUCAUUUCGGCAGCGACUGCAAAGCUGCCUGUGAAAACCGGCUGCCAAAGAAAAGAAGAAAGCAAUAAAGAAAUAAAGGACACAAUGUAAAUGAUAGACAAAAGGCAAUAAUAGGAAAACACUUGGGGAACUUCUCCUGUCUGUGGACUGCCUGCGGGUUUCUUGUUGAUACGGCGGGGGCAGUUGUCAGAGGUGGAGAAGAAGAGAGAGAG